rnacentral:misc_RNA from 1 species
GAUGAAGAACGCAGCGAAAUGCGAUACGUAAUGUGAAUUGCAAAUUCAGUGAAUCAUCGAGUCUUUGAACGCACAUUGCGCCCCCUGUAUUCCGGGGGGCAUGCCUGUCCGAGCGUCAUUGCUGCCCUCAAGCACGGCUUGUGUGUUGGGCCCCGUCCUCCGAUCCCGGGGGACGGGCCCGAAAGGCAGCGGCGGCACCGCGUCCGGUCCUCGAGCGUAUGGGGCUUUGUCACCCGCUCUGUAGGCCCGGCCGGCGCUUGCCGAUCAACCCAAAUUUUUUAUCCAGGUUGACCUCGGAUCAGGUAGGGAUACCCGCUGAACUUAAGCAUAUCAAUAAGCGGAGGA